GACGAACCGUGCGAACGUUGUUCGGAUUCACUGGGCUUAAAGGGCGCGUAGGCGGGCCGACAAGUCCGGGGUGAAAUCCCACGGCUCAACCGUGGAAUUGCCUUGGAUACUGCCGGUCUCGAGGGAGGUAGGGGCGUGCGGAACUUCCGGUGGAGCGGUGAAAUGCGUAGAUAUCGGAAGGAACGCCGGUGGCGAAAGCGGCGCGCUGGACCUCUUCUGACGCUGAGGCGCGAAAGCCAGGGGAGCGAACGGG
rnacentral:rRNA from 1 species